AAGGCUGAAAUUCGCCUUCAUGAAGCUGGAAUUGCUAGUAAUGGCAGGUCAGCAUACUGCCGUGAAUACGUUCCCGGGCCCUUGUACACACCGCCCGUCACACCAUGAGAGUUGGAAAUACCCGAAGCCUGUGAGCUAACAGUAAUGAGGCAGCAGUCGAAGGUAGAGCCAAUGAUUGGGGUGAAGUCGUAACAAGGUACC
rnacentral:rRNA from 1 species